AUUGAACGCUGGCGGCAGGCUUAACACAUGCAAGUCGAACGAUGAAGUCUAGCUUGCUAGACGGAUUAGUGGCGAACGGGUGAGUAAUGCUUAGGAAUCUGCCUAUUAGUGGGGGAUAACGUAGGGAAACUUACGCUAAUACCGCAUACGACCUACGGGUGAAAGGGGGCUUUUAGCUCUCGCUAAUAGAUGAGCCUAAGUCGGAUUAGCUGGUUGGUGGGGUAAAGGCCUACCAAGGCGACGAUCUGUAGCUGGUCUGAGAGGAUGAUCGGCCACACUGGGACUGAGACACGGCCCAGACUCCUACGGGAGGCAGCAGUGGGGAAUAUUGGACAAUGGGCGAAAGCCUGAUCCAGCCAUGCCGCGUGUGUGAAGAAGGCCUUUUGGUUGUAAAGCACUUUAAGUGGGGAGGAAAAGCUUAUGGUUAAUACCCAUAAGCCCUGACGUUACCCACAGAAUAAGCACCGGCUAACUCUGUGCCAGCAGCCGCGGUAAUACAGAGGGUGCAAGCGUUAAUCGGAAUUACUGGGCGUAAAGCGCGCGUAGGUGGUUAUUUAAGUCAGAUGUGAAAGCCCCGGGCUUAACCUGGGAACUGCAUCUGAUACUGGAUAACUAGAGUAGGUGAGAGGGGAGUAGAAUUCCAGGUGUAGCGGUGAAAUGCGUAGAGAUCUGGAGGAAUACCGAUGGCGAAGGCAGCUCCCUGGCAUCAUACUGACACUGAGGUGCGAAAGCGUGGGGAGCAAACAGG
rnacentral:rRNA from 1 species